UUAUUUUUUUCCCCCCAAAAUAUUCCUUCAGGCGGUCUAAUUAUUUUAUAUUCCCGCCCAAAUAUAUUUUCCCCUUUCUAUCACGGUACCCAAACGUGUUGGUGCUGUAUCACUUUUUCCAACUCAAGCCCUAAACCCUACCCAAACACUUCCUGUGACAUCCUUAAACUGCACACAUUCAAAUAGUCGUGAUUCAGGCUUCGGCGUCGAAGCUUUUGAACAAUCAAGAGAGGGAACGCGAGAUGUGUACUCUAGCUAAUUGCUUGUGUAUUGGGGAUGGUAAUGGUGUUGGAUCCGUAGAAAUGAAUCACAGUUUGAAGGAAUCUCUGAUCGGAGGGAGGUCGCAGCACCGGCAAGGUCUCAGUCUCAACGGAAUCUCCAAGGAUACGGAUGAGAACUUGGAUCUCUUCUCUAGAAAUCGCUGGAGUCUCUCCGUUGCUUCGUCCGACGAAUCGGACGUUUCAGUGAAAUUGGGGAGACUUUCAGUUGGAUCAGCGAAACCCAACAAAAUAUAUGACUACCAGACCGACUUCUUCUUCUACUUCUUCCUCCGAGGACACCAAUUCAUGGGCCGUUCAUGCCUAGUUGCCGCCGGACCUCACUAGUGGCGGUGGCUGGGGCACACGCUUGAUUCUCUCUCCAAGGAUUCGCCAGAUUUCGAAGGCAGGUGAUCGGGAUUAUACCAGCACGGUACGUCCUCUUGAUUCCAAGGCAAACCCCUCGUUUCCAUCCCCAGCAAAGCCCAUGAUUCAGGAACUUAAGCAGGAAUAAUUUGGCUGGCUAUAUACCAGCUGAGUUUGGUAAUCUAAGAAGCAUUAUGGAGAUAGACAUUUCAAAUAAUCACCUUUACGGUCCUAUUCCUCAAGAACUCGGUCAGCUUCAAAAUGUCCUCUUACUGUAAGUUCUAUUUCCCUGUUUGAUAUUUGUGCUUCAAGUUUCUAUUUGUGGUCUUCAUUGGUUGUCAAAGUAACUGUUAUUCUGUGGGAGGAUAAAACCAACAGGUUUGGUUAUGUACUGUUGCAUCUUAUGAAACAUAGCAUUUAUAUACUCUCUCUCUCUAUAUAUAUAUAUUUAUGUAUAUAUGGGUUUAGAAGGUUUUCGGUUCCCGUUUUUGGGGUUUUUGCUUUAAAAUCAAAUUAUUAGUUGAUUUUGUUUGCAUUAAAUAUUGUUUUUGAAGCCAAACGUGGGUUUAAUUGAUUAAAGAACAAGUUGAGUUAGAUUGAUCAUGUAUGUCCCUGUUGUGUUUUUUCUUUUAGUUUUAUUCGGAUCGAUCAUAUUUGUGUGUAUAUUAUGGUCUUUGAUUUUUUUUUUUUUAUUCAUUUUUUUGUGAAUUUUGAUUCAAACAUGCAUUAUUUGAUCCCUUAACGUGAUUUUAUUGGAUUUGAAUAGGGAUUGGGGUGAAUUUCUCAUGCUUUGUGUUCCGUAUGUGCGUGUGUAUGUGUAUACAUGGGUGUGGACUAAAUAUGCAUUGAUACAACAAUCCUGCACUGCUUUCCAAGGCAAACCAAUGAUAAAUUGAGUGCUUGAACAGUAGUAAUUAUAAGAGGAUGGAACAAAUACAUCAACAUAGUUUAUUUUCUUCUGAGGAUUUUAUUGGUAAUUUGUAAAACUAGUUCUACUCACUAUAAUAAACAUCUUCUAUUUGUGUAUGGUAGUAAGUUUUCAAUUUUACUUUGUGCCAUGGCCAUAUUAGAUAUAAAUCUUCUCACAGUGAUGUGCUUGUUUAUUGUUUUCUUCUGUUAAUUGUUCUUUUUUUCAUUUUAUUCUAUUAUAUAAUACUGAGUUUUUAUAUGUUUCUCACAAGAUUCUACUGUCUAAAAAACAGUUGAAUGCUUACUUGAAGAGAGAAGAUUCUCAUUACAAUGCUUUUUCUUAAAUUGUUAGAAUGUAUUUUUUAGUUAUGAUUCGUUUGUCAAUUAUAGUGACCCCAUAACAAAGAGGAAAGAAAAAUACAGAUGAGAUGGAAGGCAAGGCAUGGGAAGUCUUGUCCACUUGUACUUAUAUCUUGAAUCCUUGAAUUCUUUGACGUGUCCAAAUUACAUUAGAGAUGUUGUCCCUCUAACUUUCUUGUCAAUUUUUAUUUUUAUUUUUUUAUUUUUUAUUUUUUUUGAGUCAUUGGUUAAAUAUUUUUUACUGAAUGGGUUAUUGGUUAAUUUGGAUUGUUCAAAAAAUUAAUUAUUUAGCCAAAGUAGAUUCAAAAUGGUUAACAUUAAAAAAUCUGUAGAACUAACUAAUCAAUUAAAAAUAAAGUUGGUAACUUCUUACUUGUGUAAUGUAUUGCCCAAUAGUCUAUAGUAAAAGUAAAAGUCUAGUUAUGUGGAUUUUG